rnacentral:rRNA from 1 species
GAUGAACGCUGGCGGCGUGCCUAAUACAUGCAAGUCAAGCGAACGGACGAGAAGCUUGCUUCUCUGAUGUUAGCGGCGGACGGGUGAGUAACACGUGGAUAACCUACCUAUAAGACUGGGAUAACUUCGGGAAACCGGAGCUAAUACCGGAUAAUAUUUUGAACCGCAUGGUUCAAAAGUGAAAGACGGUCUUGCUGUCACUUAUAGAUGGAUCCGCGCUGCAUUAGCUAGUUGGUAAGGUAACGGCUUACCAAGGCAACGAUGCAUAGCCGACCUGAGAGGGUGAUCGGCCACACUGGAACUGAGACACGGUCCAGACUCCUACGGGAGGCAGCAGUAGGGAAUCUUCCGCAAUGGGCGAAAGCCUGACGGAGCAACGCCGCGUGAGUGAUGAAGGUCUUCGGAUCGUAAAACUCUGUUAUUAGGGAAGAACAUAUGUGUAAGUAACUGUGCACAUCUUGACGGUACCUAAUCAGAAAGCCACGGCUAGCUACGUG